rnacentral:rRNA from 1 species
UACGGAGGAUCCGAGCGUUAUCCGGAUUUAUUGGGUUUAAAGGGUGCGUAGGUGGAUUGAUAAGUCAGUGGUGAAAGUUUGCAGCUUAACUGUAAAAUUGCCGUUGAAACUGUCGGUCUUGAGUGCAAAUGAGGUAGGCGGAAUGCGUCGUGUAGCGGUGAAAUGCUUAGAUAUGACGCAGAACUCCGAUUGCGAAGGCAGCUUACUGGGAUGCAACUGACACUGAGGCACGAAAGCGUGGGUAUCAAACAGG